rnacentral:rRNA from 1 species
CGUUAGUUUUUUAAUUGGAAUCUUGUAUGAAUGGUUGGACAAAAGAAAAACUGUCUUUGUAUUGAUUAUUGAAUUUUACUUCUAAGUGAAAAGGCUUAGAUAGUUUAAUGGGACGAUAAGACCCUAUAAAGCUUAAUAUUAAAAUUUUAUUUGAUUAAAUUUUUUUUCAAUAAAAAUCUAAUAAUUAAAUUUAUUUUAUUGGGGCGAUAAAAGUAUAAUGUUUGAUAACUGCUUAAUUUUAAUUACACCUAUGCGUGAAUUAAUUUAUGAUUGAUCCUAAUUAAAGAUUAAAAGUUUAAGUUACUUUAGGGAUAACAGCGUUAUUUUUCUUAAGAGUGCUUAUCGAAAGAAA